GAAAGGAGAACCAGGUAGAAAGGGAGCCAAAAGAUAUGUUUCCCUCAAACUUUUAAUAAUGCUACGGGGGGGGGGGGACGCCACAAUAGUAGAGAGAGUUAAAAUGAAGUAGUUCAAUAAUGAGAGGCUGAAAGAUAGCAAAGGGAGCUGGACAGAUGGCUCCGUGGUUAAGAACACUGGACAGAUGGCUCCGUGGUUAAGAACACUGGACAGAUGGCUCCGUGGUGAAGAACGCUGGACAGGUGGCUCCGUGGUGAAGAACGCUGGACAGGUGGCUCCGUGGUGAAGAACGCUGGUCAGGUGGCUCCGUGGUGAAGAACGCUGGUCAGGUGGCUCCGUGGUGAAGAACACUGGCUUCUCUUGUCAAGGACUGGGUUCCUUUCUCAGCACCCACAUGGUGGCUCAUGAUUGUCAUUAACUCUGGUCCCAGGAGAUCUGAUGCCCUCUUCAGGCUCCUGCAGGUACUGCUGUGUAUCCCAGGCUGGCCUGGCAUUUGAGGGAGUCCUCCUUUCUCUGCCUCCUGAGUGCU
rnacentral:lncRNA from 1 species